rnacentral:rRNA from 1 species
AGUGAACGCUGGCGGUAGGCCUAACACAUGCAAGUCGAACGGCAGCACAGUAAGAGCUUGCUCUUACGGGUGGCGAGUGGCGGACGGGUGAGGAAUACAUCGGAAUCUACUUUUUCGUGGGGGAUAACGUAGGGAAACUUACGCUAAUACCGCAUACGACCUACGGGUGGAAGCAGGGGAUCUUCGGACCUUGCGCGAUUGAAUGAGCCGAUGUCGGAUUAGCUAGUUGGCGGGGUAAAGGCCCACCAAGGCGACGAUCCGUAGCUGGUCUGAGAGGAUGAUCAGCCACACUGGAACUGAGACACGGUCCAGACUCCUACGGGAGGCAGCAGUGGGGAAUAUUGGACAAUGGGCGUAAGCCUGAUCCAGCCAUACCGCGUGGGUGAAGAAGGCCUUCGGGUUGUAAAGCCCUUUUGUUGGGAAAGAAAAGCAGCAGGUUAAUACCCCGCUGUUCUGACGGUACCCAAAGAAUAAGCACCGGCUAACUUCGUG